AGAGUUUGAUCCUGGCUCAGAGUGAACGCUGGCGGCAGGCCUAAUACAUGCAAGUCGAACGGCAGCACGGCAGAGCUUGCUCUGUGGGUGGCGAGUGGCGGACGGGUGAGGAAUACAUGGGAAUCUGCCCAGUCGUGGGGGAUAACGUAGGGAAACUUACGCUAAUACCGCAUGCGCCCUUCGGGGGAAAGCCGGGGACCUUCGGGCCUGGCGCGAUUGGAUGAGCCCAUGUCGGAUUAGCUAGUUGGCGGGGUAAUGGCCCACCAAGGCGACGAUCCGUAGCUGGUCUGAGAGGAUGAUCAGCCACACUGGAACUGAGACACGGUCCAGACUCCUACGGGAGGCAGCAGUAGGGAAUAUUGGACAAUGGGCGCAAGCCUGAUCCAGCCAUGCCGCGUGAGUGAAGAAGGCCCUCGGGUUGUAAAGCUCUUUUGUCCGGAAAGAAAAGCGCCGGGUUAAUACCCUGGUGUCCGGACGGUACCGGAAGAAUAAGCACCGGCUAACUUCGUG
rnacentral:rRNA from 1 species